rnacentral:lncRNA from 1 species
AGCAAUAUAUAUGUAUAUAUCAAACAGAUAGAAGAGAGAAACCAUAUGAAAAUCUUCAAAUAACAGCUAAAAUAAGUUUAUUACAAUAUGCUAUACAGAACAGAACACGUGAAACUACAUACACUCAUUCACAUCACAACAACCAGCUUCCAUACACUCAUUCACAUCACAACAACCAGUUUCACCAUCGAAUCUUGCAUACCCAGGAACUUCAAACUUCACCCAGAUCCACACAAUCAUAAAUAUUGGGAUCUACAAAUAAACCGUUACUCUUGGAUACCACAAAACAUGCUCUUCAACAUAGGAAGAAGUCAUCAACGGAGUUCUACCAACAACACAAGCUCCAUUCACCUACAAGAACAGAAUGGAAUAUCAAGUACUUGGAUCAUUCAAGCAGAUUACAACCAACAUAUAUAUAUAUGUAGAAGUACAUCAGUAAAUAUGAUGGAGCAAAUCAGACAACAGAUACACUUAUACAGCCCAACAAAAGGGUGAUGACGACAAGCAAAAAAUAUACUCCCAGGUUUGGACAUAAAUAGUGUCAGAUCAAGCAGAAGACAAUAAGGCAGUAAACAUAUUGUCACAUCCUCUUUGACCCUCUUCAGAUCAAUUAAUCUACAUAGCUUCAAUUUUCUUUGUGCUUUACAGCAAAGAGCAAAACUAAAGAGAGCAAAGCAUAGUUGAUGAUGGAUUGGUGAAUUACCUCGAUGGCGUACUUGAUGGUAAUGUCGAUCCUUCUGGAGUUACUAGUGUUCGUCCACAGACAUAAGCAUAGAAAAGAAAACAUGAUUUCAGCAAAACUAAAACUGUCAAUGAAAGUUGAAUAACAAUGCAGCAGAUUAGCUCUUAGCAUGGAGGAACAUCACCAAAUUAAACAAGAUGGUUGUUCAAGUUUCUAUAUGAGUAUUCAUGAUUUCAGUUUGUCAUCAUCGUUUAAAUAGCUUGGCAAAUAUUGAUAGCAAAGAAACAAAAAAUUGAAGUCUAUAGAUUUGUGAGCAUGCAGUAGAUUGUUCACAUCCUAAUGAAAUACAUGGCAAAGAAGCUUGAACUAUACUAGCAACAGAAAUCAGUCAAUAGUAUCUGAGAGUGACUGAUGGUUGUUUCAACAAACAAACAGUUUCUUGACAUCUUAACAUGGACCAAAGAACCGUUGUUACUUCACAAUGAAGAUAAAUAUAUCGACUCUAGCAAGCAAGGACCUGACCUCUCCUUUCGGAAGAAGAGGUUUCAGUUUUGUUGUCACAAAUUUGAUGGCUAAUGUGGUGGUGUAGUAAGCAAACAUUUUAGUUUAACUUAGCACACCAUUGUUUAAUUAUUCUUUUCAGCAUGCUUUCACCAAUGACGUAGUGUGAAUAAUACGAGAAAUAGAGAAAUAACACCGAAAUUUUGAGACUAAACGAAUGCACUAUGUACCAGAUCGAACACUCUUAAAUCAAAACCAAAAAAUGCCAUCUAUUAUUAAUCUUACAGAAAAGCACUCAAUCUUCACU